UCUCCAUGAUUGCGGGAAAAUUAAAUAAAAAUAAUGUUUCAACCAUCUUUUCGUAUAAUCCUGUCGUAUAUUAUAAAAAAAGUUUAUCGUUAUGCGCAUUUUCCUACAAGCUAACCUUGUGACUGUUGUGCUUCAUAAAAUGUAAUAUGCAAUGCAAAUUCAAAUCAGGUGCUUUUCAUCGCCACUUAACAUCAGGUACCCACAAAAAAUCCCUUCAGUUCAGACGUCGUUUUAAGAACCAUAUUCUGAUGACUUCCCGCUCGUAUCCUAACUGAUGCGCUAGUCCGGUGAUCUCCGUGCCUGGAAAAAUGCAAUAUAA